AUGUAUUAACAUUUUUUUUUUCUUUUUUUUAAUCAAGUUUUUCAAGCUUCUGCACCACACUCUUAACACUCUUAACACACCCGCCGCCUCCCCCCAAGCUCCCCCCGGUGACGCCGCCCGGACGACGCUGCACGAGCAACCGGACGCCGAUGCCAGUGAGUCAGUGACCGCCCCCCACCCACCCUGCGUCGCGUCGCCUCUGACGCCGCUCUUCUCGCAGCAGCAGAUCGGGCGGCGGAGCACCCCUCUCCUCCGCUGACGCCGUUCUUCUCGCAGCAGCAGAUCGGGCGGCGGAGCACCCCUCUCCUCAGCUGACGCCGCUCUUCUCGCAGCAGCAGCAGCAGAUCGAGCUUUUUGCUUCUCCGUCUGCCACCUACCGCACCCGUCUCUCUCUCUCUCCGUCCGUUAACCCUAGCAGCCGCCGUCGGUCGAGCUCUCAAUCGCAGACCCUAGGAGCUGCCGCUGUCGCCGCCGCCUUCUACAAUAGCCACCACCAAGGUGUGUCGAGUCAGGUGUAUCAUAUCUCAACACUAAAGUGGAAAGGAUUAUUGAAGCUUCAGGAGGCCAUAGACUUGUAGAGUGUGAAGGCAACAUUGUGAUUCCCUGCAGGCAGAUGAGAUGAUCGUUUCAGUAACUGGAGCCACUGGGUUCAUAGGUAAAAGAUUGGUGCAGAGAUUGCUUGCAGAUCAAGAAAGAGAUCAAGGAAAGCAGGAUUAAAGUAACUUCUAAGGUUGUAGAUUUUAUUAAUAGCACACAGGAUGACCUUCGCCCCAAGGUUUUGGCUUGCAACUGUAGCAUCCGGGGCAGCCUCAGGGAAACUCCUAGAGUAUGAGGUUGGGGGUCCGAGGGUUUCAGUCCAGACAGCCUAUGGCAUCGAGGUUGAGGUGGAAAACAAUCCAUACGAUCCCAGCCUGAUGGUUUUUAUGGAUUAUAGAGACUACUGGAAACAUAAAGUUCAAUUCUUAGAAGCACAAUAUCCAACAUUUCUGUAUGCCAUGCCUGUGUCCCCAACAAGAGUUUUCUUUGAGGUAUGCCUCUGGGACUACUUCAAUAAGAAGAAGCAAACUAUAUUAAUUCCAUGGAGAAGAUGGUGCUAUUUUUGUCCCUGGUGGUGUAGUUAGUAUAAAAUUGGGCGAUAUUAAGAAUCUAGUGCUUAUAUGGUGGAAGAAUUGUUAGACAUUAAUGUAUGUGAUAUUUGUGAAUAUUUGGAUGACAAUGUAUGAAUAUUUUGAAUGUUAUAUAAUAUAUGUUAUCGAUGGCAAUGUUA